rnacentral:rRNA from 1 species
CGCCUUGCCAGCCCGCUCAGAAACUCAAAGGAAUUGACGGGGGCCCGCACAAGCGGUGGAGCAUGUGGUUUAAUUCGAUGAUACGCGAGGAACCUUACCUGGGCUCAAAUGUAUGUUGACGUAUUCUGAAAGGGAUACUUCUUCGGACAAUAUACAAGGUGCUGCAUGGUUGUCGUCAGCUCGUGCCGUGAGGUGUCGGGUUAAGUCCCAUAACGAGCGCAACCCCUAUCAUUAGUUGCCAUCAGGUCAAGCUGGGGACUCUAAUGAAACUGCCUACGCAAGUAGUGAGGAAGGUGGGGAUGACGUCAAAUCAGCACGGCCCUUACGCCUAGGGCUACACACGUACUACAAUGGUGGGUACAAAGGGCAGCGAAACCGCGAGGUCGAGCGAAUCUCAAAAAACCCAUCAUAGUCCGGAUCGCAGUCUGCAACUCGACUGCGUGAAGUCGGAAUCGCUAGUAAUCGUGAAUCAGAAUGUCACGGUGAAUACGUUCCCGGGCCUU